rfam:Gossypium hirsutum cultivar TM-1 chromosome 19, whole genome shotgun sequence
AAUCCAUGGUAUAGGCAUGUUUGAAUCAACAUUUUAAAAUGCUCUCAUGCUUCAUGAAAAAUUUCUCCUUCUAAUUAUUUAAACAUUGAAAUUUCCCUUCUUAGCUU